rnacentral:rRNA from 1 species
UGGGGUGACUGCGUACCUUUUGUAUAAUGGGUCAGCGACUUAUAUUCUGUAGCAAGGUUAACCGUAUAGGGGAGCCGAAGGGAAACCGAGUCUUAACUGGGCGUUAAGUUGCAGGGUAUAGACCCGAAACCCGGUGAUCUAGCCAUGGGCAGGUUGAAGGUUGGGUAACACUAACUGGAGGACCGAACCGACUAAUGUUGAAAAAUUAGCGGAUGACCUGUGGCUGGGGGUGAAAGGCCAAUCAAACCGGGAGAUAGCUGGUUCUCCCCGAAAGCU